rnacentral:rRNA from 1 species
UGGCGGUGUGCCUUAGGCAUGCAAGUCGCACGAUAAGCUAUCCUUCGGGAUAGUAGACAGUGGCAGACGGGUGAAUAACGCGUAGGAAUCUACCCUUUAGUGGGGAAUAGCCUUCCGAAAGGAGGGGUAAUACCGCAUGUGCUCGCAAGAGCAAAGUCUAUUUAUCUUCGGAUAAUGUGGCGCUAAAGGAGGAGCCUGCGUCCUAUCAGGUAGUUGGUGAGGUAAUUGCUCACCAAGCCGACAACGGGUAGCCGGUGUGAGAGCACGACCGGCCACAAGGUCACUGAGACACGGGACCUACACCUACGGGUGGCAGCAACCAGGAAUAUUGCGCAAUGGACGAAAGUCUGACGCAGCGACACCGCGUGUGGGAAGACGCUCUGCGGAGUGUAAACCACUGUGGCAAGGGAAGAACCAAUGACGGUACCUUGCUAGAAAGCACCUGCUAACUACGUGCCAGAAGCCUCGGUAAUACGUAGGGUGCAAGCGUUAUCCGGAUUUACUGGGCGUAAAGGGUUCCGUCGGCGUCUUGGUAAGUUUCUUGUUUAAUCCUGAGGCUCAACUUCAGAAAAGCAAGAAAAACUACCAAGAUUGAGUCUGUUCGGGGUAACUAGAACUCUCGGUGUAGGGGUGAAAUCCGUAGAUAUCGAGAGGAAUGCCAAUCGCGAAAGCAGGUUACUAGGACAGCACUGAGGCUCAGGGACGAAAGCUAGGGUAGCAAAAGGGAUUAGAGACCCCUGUAGUCCUAGCCGUAAACGAUGCUCGCUAGCUGGUCGCUCUUUUAAAGUGACUGGCGUAAGCUAACGCGUUAAGCGGGCCGCCUGGGAAUUACGAUCGCAAGAUUAAAACUCAAAGGAAUUGGCGGGGGAGCGUACAACCGGUGGAGCAUGUGGUUUAAUUCGAUACAAAGCGAACAACCUUACCUAGAUUUGACAUGUACCUGCGAGACUUGGGAUAACCAAGUCGCGUUCGAGGGGUGGUACACAGGUGAUGCAUGGCUGUCGUCAGCUCGUGUCGUGAGACGUCCGCUUAAGUGCGGUAACGAGCGCAACCCUUGUUGUCAGUUAUAUGUAUCUGACAAGACUGCCCUUGCCAAGCAAGGGAGGAAGGAGAGGACGUACGUCAAGUCAGUAUGUUCCUUAUAUCUAGGGCAACACACAUCCUACAAUGGGGUCGACAACGGGUAGCGACAGGGUAACCUUGAGCCAAUCCUUAUAAACGACCUCUCAGUUCGGAUUGAGGGCUGAAACUCGCCCUCAUGAAGAUGGAAUCGGUAGUAAUCGCAUAUCAUUACGGGUGCGCGUGAAUACGUUCUCGCUCACUUGCACACACUGCCACGUCAAGCCAGCAAAGUCAGCAGCGCCCGAAGCGGGAGACC